UACGUAGGGGGCUAGCGUUGUCCGGAAUCAUUGGGCGUAAAGCGCGUGUAGGCGGUCCGGUAAGUCCGCUGUGAAAGUCCAGGGCUCAACCCUGGGAUGCCGGUGGAUACUGCUGGGCUAGAGUACGGAAGAGGCGGAGUGGAAUUCCCGGUGUAGCGGUGAAAUGCGCAGAUAUCGGGAGGAACACCUAUUGCGAAGGCAGCUCGCUGGGACGUUACUGACGCUGAGACGCGAAAGCGUGGGGAGCAAACAGG
rnacentral:rRNA from 1 species